GUAUCUGCCUGUAAGUAUCGUCGUCUCUCUCUGCAUCGUAGUACUGUCUCACUAGGUGCUUGUAGUCCGCCCGCUUGCGCUCUAAAGUCUCGGUGCGACGCUCGGUGUUGGCGGGAAGGUAGCCGGCUAGCAGGCGCCAUGUGUUUGCACGAGCC